ensembl:lncRNA
GCCAAGCGGAUGCAGGUUAAUGAAACCCGCAAAAGCCCAGACAGGAACCCUUAAAAUGCCCCAGAACAAAGCACAACCAUGACAAAUUCUCGCCCAACACACAACUACACGCACAGGAAUGUUCCCAGACACACAGAAAAAGAGACCUUCCCUACCUCAGGCCUUCCCUCAUGGACACUCAGUGACGAGAGAACCACGGAGACCUCAGAGGAAACAGCAAAAUGGGGGAGACUUUUAAAUCAUCUUCCUUGCUGGGGAGAACAGGAUAGGCUGUCACAUUCAUCCCAUGCAGCAGUCCACACUACGGAAGCUCUCGGACCAAGCUUCUGAGCACUGGCUGUUCCCUUCUACAUUUUCGACUCAGGAGUCUGAUUACAAGUAAAGCACCACUAAAGUUCAUCUCAUAAAAAUGCCGCAAGCUCACUUUGAUCAGCGUGGACUGGGGUCCAGAGCCUAAGUAGGCGCUAAAGCCGGGGAAUGGCGGCUUCGGCCAACCGAUCCACAGCUCCGCAGUGAGGGGGAGACCCGGGUAGCCCAAGAGGGCAAUCUCCCCCAGAGAAGACCACCGAGACAGCCGCCCAGACCGCAGCCGCCUGCCACACCAGGCAGGCAGGCAGCAGGGACCAAGGCCACCAAGAGCCAGCGAGGAGGGCAAGAUAGCCCUGCCAGAUGGUUUCAGGUGAAGGCCUGGCCUCCAGGUGGAUGGAGGGGCCACCGGGUGCCCACCAGUUUCAAGGAAAUCAGGCUGCCAGCCAUCCCUUGCAGCCGCCUGGCUCAUUUUAUGGUGGCCCUGGAAUAAACUUUGGUGGUCAAAUUCAAGUGCUGAGGCCCACAGCUGUCUCCUCACAGGAAGCAGCCCACCCCUCUUGGGCCUGGCUGUGCAGAAUGAGCCUUGG